rnacentral:rRNA from 1 species
GACGAACGCUGGCGGCGUGCUUAACACAUGCAAGUCGAACGGAAAGGCCCUGCUUUUGUGGGGUGCUCGAGUGGCGAACGGGUGAGUAACACGUGAGUAACCUGCCCUUGACUUUGGGAUAACUUCAGGAAACUGGGGCUAAUACCGGAUAGGAGCUCCUGCUGCAUGGUGGGGGUUGGAAAGUUUCGGCGGUUGGGGAUGGACUCGCGGCUUAUCAGCUUGUUGGUGGGGUAGUGGCUUACCAAGGCUUUGACGGGUAGCCGGCCUGAGAGGGUGACCGGCCACAUUGGGACUGAGAUACGGCCCAGACUCCUACGGGAGGCAGCAGUGGGGAAUAUUGCACAAUGGGCGGAAGCCUGAUGCAGCAACGCCGCGUGCGGGAUGACGGCCUUCGGGUUGUAAACCGCUUUCGCCUGUGACGAGGCGUGAGUGACGGUAAUGGGUAAAGAAGCACCGGCUAACUACGUGCCAGCAGCCGCGGUGAUACGUAGGGUGCGAGCGUUGUCCGGAUUUAUUGGGCGUAAAGGGCUCGUAGGUGGUUGAUCGCGUCGGAAGUGUAAUCUUGGGGCUUAACCCUGAGCGUGCUUUCGAUACGGGUUGACUUGAGGAAGGUAGGGGAGAAUGGAGUCCCUGGUGGAGCGGUGGAAUGCGCAGAUAUCAGGAGGAACACCAGUGGCGAAGGCGGUUCUCUGGGCCUUUCCUGACGCUGAGGAGCGAAAGCGUGGGGAGCGAACAGGCUUAGAUACCCUGGUAGUCCACGCUGUAAACGGUGGGUACUAGGUGUGGGGUCCAUUCCACGGGUUCCGUGCCGUAGCUAACGCUUUAAGUACCCCGCCUGGGGAGUACGGCCGCAAGGCUAAAACUCAAAGGAAUUGACGGGGCCCGCACAAGCGGCGGAGCAUGCGGAUUAAUUCGAUGCAACGCGUAGAACCUUACCUGGGUUUGACAUGGAUCGGGAGUGCUCAGAGAUGGGUGUGCCUCUUUUGGGGUCGGUUCACAGGUGGUGCAUGGCUGUCGUCAGCUCGUGUCGUGAGAUGUUGGGUUAAGUCCCGCAACGAGCGCAACCCUUGUUCACUGUUGCCAGCACGUUAUGGUGGGGACUCAGUGGAGACCGCCGGGGUCAACUCGGAGGAAGGUGGGGAUGACGUCAAGUCAUCAUGCCCCUUAUGUCCAGGGCUUCACGCAUGCUACAAUGGCUGGUACAGAGAGUGGCGAGCCUGUGAGGGUGAGCGAAUCUCGGAAAGCCGGUCUCAGUUCGGAUUGGGGUCUGCAACUCGACCUCAUGAAGUCGGAGUCGCUAGUAAUCGCAGAUCAGCAACGCUGCGGUGAAUACGUUCCCGGG